CUUGCUCACUUGCCUGCCAUAGGCUGAUUCAAACCUCAAGGCCAUGCCAAAGAGUUGAAUCAAAUAACAGCAAAUUCACAUCUCAGGUGGCCUUUUCUUCCGGGUUGGUCUCUGCAUCAUUUUUUAUGGCAAGUUCGUUCUAUAAUAAUCUCAUAGGCACAUAUCAUGAUCCUUAUUUCAUCAUGCUUGCUGUUAGAGUGCAAUUUAUGCACUAAUUUUGCAUUAUUUACUUCCCUUAAUAUCGAUGUUUUAAACUUAAUAAUAAUGUUUUACUUGUGUUUUACUUUUGUAGGUGCAAUUCUAUUGAUUGGUGAUAAAAUUGAGCUAAAAGAUUAUGUUUAAGGAGGAUUGUUCUCUUGGAGAAAUUAUGAGCGUCAGAAGAACUUUGUUGAUAAGGCGUGGGCGCGUGCUGUCAACUGCGGACCUGCAGUUUUUAGUUUAACAUGUUUUGUAUUUUUGGUUAUUUUUGUAAUUACGAAUUUAAUAUUUCAGAUAUUAGUAUUUUAUUUUAAAUAGAAUUCUAAAAGAGAAGAGAGAGAGAGUAUUUAAGGGAGGAAUCUAUUGUGAAAAA
rnacentral:lncRNA from 1 species